UGUAAGUUUACGAAAUUGAUUGUUCUGAUUUUCCCCGACUUUCGCUGAAGUAUAAAAUUCAUUUCUCUUAUAUUUAUCAGCCGCAAUGAUUUUUUAAAAAUUUUGUUUCGGUUUAUGCUACUCUGCACUGAUUUUCGUCAUUGUGUCAUGCCACAUCCUGGUAUAAAAAAAAAACAGAAAAUCGAUCAAUCGAUGACAUAUUUUACAGUAGUAGAGAGAUUGCGCAAAAUAAGCUUACACAGCUUUCUAGUUAUUUGUCAGAUAAAAUAAUUACCUACCGUCGUAAAGGUUGACUGAGGUCUGUUAAAAAAAUAAAUACGUUUUGCUUUGCCAUUGAGCUCAAACUGGAAAAAUGAAAGAUUAUAAAUUUUCAACCAUUACUGUGAAUUUUGGUGCCCCUAGCGAAGAUAACUUUUUUUAGAAACUUAAAUGAGUUUUUCCGUAAGCAAACGUAGAAGUGACAAAUCCAGCGAGUAAUCAAUUUGCAGCAUUUUGACUUACUUCUGCAUUCACUAGGGGCAUCAAACUUUGCAGGAAUGGCUGAGAACCUAUAUUCUUUUCCGUUUGUCGACCAGUGUAAAAAGAAUCACGGUUAGAUAUUCCACAAGACGCUAGCGAUUUGGAAUAGCGACCGUCUCAAUCGGAACUACAUUAAGUACGAAAUAUAUACAAUACGGAAGUUUAUCUAAAGUACUUUCGAGUAUAUUUCCAACAUUAUGGUGCGAUAAUAAACGAAAGUCACAUCUUCUUGCUUAACUUGUUAAAAUUCAUCAAGAUAUAGGAUAAGUUUCUUUUUGUUCCUAAUAUUAAAAAAUAAAACGGCAUUUUUUGUAA